UCCGGGACAGCGCUCUCCGCGGUCCGCCCGCCGGGACUGGGGGCCCCACAGCAGAGGAGCGAGGACCCCAGGAGCUGCUCCUCGCCUUUGCACCCCUCCUGCAGCCCACACCGAGCUGCAGCCUCCUAUCCCGGCCCUUCUCUGAAUAUUUCCCCCCAACUCCCCACCAAACGGGCCCGGAGCUCCGGGCAGCCGGGAGCGCAGCAGGCCUGAGGCUGCAGACCCCGGGAGUUCCCCGACCUGAACUUGGUCCCAGCUCGAUCUGCUUUUUAUUUGGCCCUGGAGACGCAGGCGGGGCUGGGAAGGUCAGACUCGCAGCUCGGGAACAGCAGGAGGCGGCCAGACGCGGCCUCUCCGCGGUGCGUCUUGCUGUGGCUGUGGCUGUGGCAGCAGUGGGUGGUGGCGCAAUGGCUCCCCUUCUCUUUCCUCUCUCUCCAGAGUGCAGGAAACAAACGAGAGAGGAGGCUCAGGCGCUGUGGCAUCUGUUCUAGGACCUGCGAGGCUGACGCGUUUCCACUCGGGCGUCCAGGCGUCUCUGAGUCGCAUCCCCCAAGAAAUGCAACGCAGGUUCCUGCAAACCACGGGUGAACCUGCCACCCAGGGGGUCCCGACCGGCCCUUUCUAGAAGGCAUCGGCUGGGGGAGACACGAGGAACGCGCUUAGGAUGCCUGGGAAUAGGAAUGAACUCUGGGUCCGGUCCAUGUUAAAAAAUCCUCUGGAUUUUUGGAUGUGGACUAGGGAGCCGAGGCGUUUGUCACAAAGAGCACACCCAGGAAGGCCGUUGGCUGGAGACCACCGCUGCACCAACAAGAGGCGGCCGUCCCUCGCCAGGAAUAAAUUCAACCCCUUGUCUGCGGUCAUUCAUGUUCUCAGGAAUAUAUCUUGGAGGUGUAUUUGGAUUUUCAUUUCCACGUCUGGCACACGGGCCUCCGCAACGGGACAGAAGGAAAACUGGUUUCUCCUUCCUGUUGCCCGUGCCCCAGACCCGGGAUUCGCGUCCCCAGGACGCACCGGCUUAAGAAAUUGGCAGGACACCCCCCCGCCACAAACAGGCCCCCCAAUCUUUGGCCACGUUUCUGCAAUGUCAAAACGCAGGUGGAAGGAACGAAGACGUCCACCGGGCAGAGCCAGGAAGAGGCGAGCAGGCAGAAAUUAAUUGGCUAAUUUGUGCAGCGGACCUGGCCGCCUCCUCCCCGUUCUCCUGCCUCCGGGGACUGCCCUGGAACCGAACUUCCGCAGGGACCAGGCCCAAGUCCUCACCAAGCGCACGCAGCUUCUGCAGACACAGCUGGACCCCGCGGGUCAGCGCGGGGGCUCUGAGGCCCCCACGUGACGGUCCUGGAACCUCCCCAUCCACCCCAGUCCCAGGCUCCCGGGCGCUCCUGGACCAGCCCGCGAGGCCACGAUCUGAGGGGUCCCCCAUGGUGCCCGGACAGGGGGUGCUUAUUCCUGCUCAGGGACUCCGUGGGAGGCUGCGGGUCUCGCCUUGGGUCUCUCCGGGCGGUUCUUCAUCCCACCCCACUAAUGAGGCGCCCGCGCUGACCGCCCAAGGCUGCCUGUGGGGGGGUCGGGAUGCGCCCCUGCCCUGCCCUGCGCGCACUGGGGAACUCGGCCCGCGGUGGCUGGGAAGGCGGGGAGCGCAGAGCGUGCGGGGUCUCCAGGCAGGAGCUGCGGGGCGGGGAUAUGAGGGAGGGAUUUGGGGGAGGUCCGAGUGCAGCCGG
rnacentral:lncRNA from 10 species